UUAUUAAUAGGGAUUUAAAACCAGAAAACAUUCUUCUAGAUUCACAGGGUCACAUUGUUUUAACUGAUUUUGGUCUUUGCAAAGAAGGGAUUGCAAAUUCUGACACAACACUUACCUUUUGCGGGACACCGGAAUACCUAGCUCCUGAAGUAAUAAUGAAACAGCCAUAUGACAACACGGUAGACUGGUGGUGCCUUGGCUCUGUCCUUUAUGAGAUGUUACAUGGGCUG